rnacentral:piRNA from 1 species
ACAUAGUAGAAAAUGAACCCUGG